AUUGAACGCUGGCGGCAGGCCUAACACAUGCAAGUCGAGCGACUGGCGGACGGGUGAGUAAUGUAUGGGGACUGCUUGAUAGAGGUGGUUCACUACUGCAAACGGUCGCUACUACCGCAUACUAUCGGAUAACCCAUAUGGGAUUGGCUAGUAGGUGAGGGAAUGGCCAACCUAGUCGACGAUCCCUAGCUGGUCUGAGAGGAUGAUCAGCACCACUGGGACUGAGACACGGCCCAGACUCCUACGGAGGAAGCAGUGGGGAAUAUUGCACAAUGGGCGCAAGCCUGAUACGGCCAUACCGCAUGUAUGGAGAGGGCCUUGGGGUUGUAAAGUUCAUUCAGACGGGAGGGGUUACCGGCAGAAGAAGCACCGGCUAACUCCGUGCCAGCAGCCGCGGUAAUUC
rnacentral:rRNA from 1 species